rnacentral:rRNA from 1 species
UAAGUGAUGGCGACCGGCGCACGGGUGAGUAACACGUAUCCAACCUGCCGAUAACUCGGGGAUAGCCUUUCGAAAGAAAGACUAAUACCCGAUGGUAUAAUAAAGCCGCAUGGUUUAAUUAUUAAAGAAUUUCGGUUAUCGAUGGGGAUGCGUUCCAUUAGGCAGUUGGUGAGGUAACGGCUCACCAAACCUUCGAUGGAUAGGGGUUCUGAGAGGAAGGUCCCCCACAUUGGAACUGAGACACGGUCCAA